AAUGAUACGAUAGGUAAAAUAUAGCAGAUUAUAAGAAAUGCUAGAGCACUACUGCCUCCUUAGGGCCCUUGAAACACAAGGCCUGGAGGCAUGUGCUAUGCAAAACAAUGAUCGCAGUGGCAUCCUCUGCGGAGAGGAGGCGCUACGAACGCAUUGGACUAAUAACAUGUAAGACCACAUCUCUGAUGAAACCUAGGACUGUGUCUGUAUUAAAAAGUGGUUCUGGACCAAGAAGCAUUGCAGGAUGAAGAGGAAUGUGCUGUCGGUAUGCUAAUGAAAAAUGUCUCUUUCUCUCAGAUUCGGCUUCCCGACACUCCAGGAGGACGUGGAGUACGGUCAGCCUCUCCCCGCAUCUACCACAGGUUGGAGGCUCACUUCCCAAGACAACACUGCGUAGGCCUCGGCCGUGAAGAUACUUGUUUCCGGAUGUAGUACACCAGAUUCUGAGAAGGAUGGGCCGAAGGCAGCAUAACACACCCCGGCAUUUGGCUUUGAAGCGUCUGUGUAGAACUCUGCGCAGGAGUGCUUGUGCUGGAGUUCUAGGAAAUGGGUGUACUCGCCCUUGACCCUCAGCGCAGACUGGAAGGCCCCAUCGUCAGCAACCACACUUAACGUGCCAACUAUAUAUGAGCAGCGACGACCGUCCACCGCGCCUUGUGGGCUCGGUGGCUGUGCCACAACACAGUUGUCUUAUCCACUCGUCUUCGC